GAUUAGAACAACAUACUAUAACACAUAGCACUACUUAUUGCAGUCAGCACAUAACCUAAUCACAUUGUCACAUAUAUUCCACAACCAUUGAAUCACAAAUAAACACAUAUACAGUCAAAAUAUCUAAGUUCAGAUCAAUUUCUGAAACAUGUCGGUGUACCGACAGCUUUAUCGGGUAAUUAUCGAGUCUAAGACUCUAUUCUGUAACUCAAUAUCUAUAAA
rnacentral:lncRNA from 1 species